rnacentral:rRNA from 1 species
CGUUAAGUUGCAGGGUAUAGACCCGAAACCCGGUGAUCUAGCCAUGGGCAGGUUGAAGGUUGGGUAACACUAACUGGAGGACCGAACCGACUAAUGUUGAAAAAUUAGCGGAUGACCUGUGGCUGGGGGUGAAAGGCCAAUCAAACCGGGAGAUAGCUGGUUCUCCCCGAAAGCUAUUUAGGUAGCGCCUCGUGAAUUCAUCUCCGGGGGUAGAGCACUGUUUCGGCUAGGGGGCCAUCCCGGCUUACCAACCCGAUGCAAACUGCGAAUACCGGAGAAUGUUAUCACGGGAGACACACGGCGGGUGCUAACGUCCGUCGUGAAGAGGGAAACAACCCAGACCGCCAGCUAAGGUCCCAAAGUCAUGGUUAAGUGGGAAACGAUGUGGGAAGGCCCAGACAGCCAGGAUGUUGGCUUAGAAGCAGCCAUCAUUUAAAGAAAGCGUAAUAGCUCACUGGUCGAGUCGGCCUGCGCGGAAGAUGUAACGGGGCUAAACCAUGCACCGAAGCUGCGGCAGCGACGUUUAUGCGUUGUUGGGUAGGGGAGCGUUCUGUAAGCCUGCGAAGGUGGCCUGUGAGGGUUGCUGGAGGUAUCAGAAGUGCGAAUGCUGACAUAAGUAACGAUAAAGCGGGUGAAAAGCCCGCUCGCCGGAAGACCAAGGGUUCCUGUCCAACGUUAAUCGGGGCAGGGUGAGUCGACCCCUAAGGCGAGGC